UACGUAGGGGGCAAGCGUUGUCCGGAAUUAUUGGGUUUAAAGGGUGCGUAGGCGGACCUAUAAGUCAGUGGUGAAAGCCCCAAGCUCAACUUGGGAACUGCCAUUGAUACUGUUGGUCUUGAGUACAGUUGAGGUAGGCGGAAUGUGUCAUGUAGCGGUGAAAUGCUUAGAUAUGACACAGAACACCGAUUGCGAAGGCAGCUUGCUAAGCUGUAACUGACGCUGAUGCACGAAAGCGUGGGUAGCAAACAGG
rnacentral:rRNA from 1 species